rnacentral:lncRNA from 1 species
UUCUCGUUCAAAUGAUUUUACAUUUGUCAUUUCGGAGACUUUUAGACCUACUCUGUGUAAGGAAUUCGCGCAUUGUCAAUAUUUUAUGCUGUUACUCUUGUUAGUAUUGUGUAAUAGAUAAUGACAAUCAAAUCGUCAAUCGAUUUAAAAAAAAAAUAAAAUCAAGGAAACUCCAAACAGAGCAAUAUCGAGUGAGUUGAUAACGCUAGCGCCCCUUGUCCAUACUCAAUAUAUAUAUAUAUAUAUAAAAAAAACAUCAUACGGAGUAGGACACAUUCGAAAAAAGGACAAAUUAGAACUAUAAAUGUCUAUGAUGGUGUCUUAAGAUGAAAGACUGCAACAUUCACAUUAGAUUGGUUGAUCAAUUGUUGGUAAUGAUUGCAGUCCUAUCGCCCCAUAACUCGUUUGAAGCAGUUCUUAUUUAUUCGGUGCUAAUAUCUGUUCAUUCAGUUAAUAUGGCACGUGACGUAUUAAUUCAGAUUUGUAACGGGGAUAUGAUGAUGGAACGGAGGAUAUGAAACUGUUGAUCAAAUUGUAAUCAUCAUGUUUGUUUCCUACUUACGAUAGUAGAGAGACAUUGUGGUUUCUAGUCUGUGCGUCCGUCUGUUCGUUAUACCGUGUGUCUUUCCGUUCAUCAGUUCUUCCGUGCGUCCGUUCGUUCGUCCGUUCGUCCGUCUAGGUUCCAGGUUGCAGUUCUUGAUCAAGGUAGUUUCUGAUGAAGCUGAAGUCCAAUCAACUUGAAACUUAGUACUCGUGUUGCUUAUGAUAUGAUCCUUCUAAUUUUAAAGCCAAGUUCAAGGUCCACUGAACAUAGAAAAUUAAAGUAGGAGUUUUAGCUUAAUUUGUUUUGUCAAUGUAGAUUUUAAUGAAAUUGAAGUCCAAUCAACUUAAAACUUAGUACACAUGAUUCCUAUGGUAUGAUCCAUCUAAUUUUAGUGCCAAAUUAAAGUUUUACCCAGUUUCAUGGUUCAUUGAACAUGGAAAACGAUAGUGCGAUUUGUCCAUCCGUGUAAUUUGGACACGUUCUUGUUUUCAUAUAUUCAAGUUUGCAGUGUCUCCUUUGUGUUGAUUAUGACGAAAAUGAGACAUAAUGUGUUGAAGAAUGAAAAUAAGAACAAAAACGUAGAUUAACAAAAUAUCAUCCCAUUUCGUUGAGGGUGCCAGCAAUUACGGUAACAUGUGUAAGAUGUCUAGUUAGUGACCCUCAUUUUUUAUAAUGUUAAAUGAAGAAUGUUCUAAUUUGAUUUCUUUUUCAAAAAGACGCUGUUAUUGCUGGUGUAUCAGGUGGAGUUGCUUGAUUUUUGGUCUUAUGCGGAUUGAUCGUUUAUUGUUGCAUCUGUUGUCGUCAAAGAAAAAGACGAAGCGGUAGAUACUGUUGUGCAUGUCUAACAAAUAGACCGGGAAACAUAAGUAAGUCUGACUGUUUUCAUAAAAUGAAGAGCGAAUAUAGUUACCAAAGGCACAAGGAUUACAAUUUGAUACGAAUAUAGACAACGCAUUGCAAUGUGAUGAUUUGGUUUUUUUUUCGUUUUUGGUUUCGUACUUUUUCAUACGGUGUCAGUAUGAUAAUGUGUAAAUAAAUCAAAAACAAUGUGUGUAUGCACUUGUUUGAACACAGUUUGUUAAACUAAAAUCAAUGGAAAACAUGUAUUUUUUUUUUUUUUUUUUUGCAUUUUUUAUUCUUGUUUGACUUAUAAAAGUGUUACUUGAAUUUUAAAGGAUUUUGAAAAGCUCCAGUUCUAUUGUUGAUAAUAUAUUAUUACCUAAUUUCAUAUAUGUAUGUGUUUGUAGAUGCAGGAGGUCUUUCGGCAGAAUGCUCCGUAAAUGAACUAUUGUUAUGUUCCUGUAUCUUGUGUAGACCACGGAAGCAGAAUGAAAGUGUACAGGGAUCAAAUUUACUUGACAAGGGUUCGUUUUAUAUAGUUAGGCUUCAUUUCUUUUUAUUUAAAUGAUUAACACAUCUAAUAUCCUGUAUCAUGUAUAUCAAAGUUGCAAUUUUCGUAAUUGACAUAUUUGUCAAGUAAAGUUAGAUUACAACGAAAAAAAUCUAUACUAUGUAUACAUGAGCUUAUUGUAAAGACGAUAUUAUGAUUAUUCAGAUAGGAGGGUAUAGUCACUCUGCAGCUGUCCAAUAACGGAAAUAAUUCCGACCUCAAGUUAGUCAAUCUUGUAAUUUAGUAUGGUGGCGUGAUUGCCUUUAAGACCGGCUUAUUACUAAAAUACAACUAUACACAGUAGUUACAACAACUGAUUAUCAUUUCUAAUUUGAUUGAAAAGUAAUUUAAUUUAGUUAUUACUAUCAGAUUUGAUACAUGUUUGAUUUUUUUGACUGCAUUGGUGAUGUUGAAUGAUAAUGCGCAAGAACCAGAUGCCUAUCACUUACAACUAAAUGGAUUUUGUGUAUUUAAGAAUGUUCUCUACUCUGUUUUAAAAUAAUAAGCUUUUAUAAAGACUGUUAUAAAUUGAUUGUUUGGAAAGAAAGGAAUUAAAAAAGCAUCAAAAACAUAGGGUUGAUGUGGUUGUUUUUCGAGGUAUACGCCGUUGAAAAUUUGGCGAGAAGUAAUUCUCUCUAGAUUUUUCGUACACUUUACAUUGAUGCCUUUUUUCGUUCGAAAAUGAUGAAACAAUAACAAGGAUUUUAUAAGAUUUUCACAGAUGACCCUUUAAAUUAAAUGAAAUUAAAUUAUGAAAAGAAAAGUACGGGUCAAUGGGCAAAAUUUUUUAAUGGUACUACAUGGAUAAAACCAGAUGAUUCCGAACAUCUGACAUAAAAUCAAAACCAAGAGGAGCGCACAUCUUUAGCAAAGGUUUACAGUGUUCUGGUUUCUGUUUGGGUAAUUUCGGAAUGAAUCAGACAUGAAAAAACGAAUAGGACAAAAGGGAGCAAUCGCAAAUUAAACACACAACAUAAACAUGAUAAACAGGAGUAGAAAUAAGGUUUAGUAUUUAUUCGUGUGUCUUAAACGAAUAACUAUUCUAUACUAUCUUUUAAAUAAUAUAGUGUUAUUUACUGUCAGUUUCUGCAUUCUGCACUAGUAUAGAUUCAAGGUUUGCUGUAUUGGCCUAGAGACCCGUAGGGUCGAGGGCCAAUACAGCUGACCAAUAAUCUAUACCGGUACCGAUGCAAAGAAACAGCCAGUUCAGAACACUUUUAUUAAAUAAUCCAUUGUUUUUCAAUACAGACUUGUUAAGAAUGCUUAUUACAUAAUUUUUACAUCGAAUGAGACUAUAGGGCCAAUAUUUCCAAUACGGACUGGCAAUGAUGCGAAAAUAGGGUCAAUAUGUCCAAUAUGAACUGGCAAUGAUGUGAAUAUAGGGCCAAUAUUUCCAAUACGAACUGGAAAUGAUUGCAUUUUACCGGACCGAAAAGCAAUACAGAUCACGUGAUUUAUAUGACCAGGACGACGUCACAUGUAUGACACAUGCCGUUUUGGUAGUAAUAGGGUUGUUUUAAUCGUAUUAUUUAAUAAUGUCAACUUUUUUUGUAUAAAGUUUCUAUCAGACCUGGUAUGGAUGAGGAAUCGGAACCUGUAAAUAGUCUUACAGAAGAACACACAGCUCCUCUUAUUCAGUGUGAAUAAGAUUGCAAUAGAAUUAUCUUGUCCGAAUGCAACUUUAUUUGAAACUGUUAUACCUGAAUAACAGCUAAUACACAAUGUGUCUUUUAAUUUGUCUUGUUUUAUAUGUCACUGUAAAUAAAGUCAUCAAUUAAACAAAAUAUCUGAAUUUAAAAUCUAUUUUCCCAUUAAAUAAAACCAUACAACAAUAUAAGAUUGAUAAGUAAAAAUGACACUUAACGGUGAUAGUCUAUCGUCCUGGACCGAC